rnacentral:lncRNA from 1 species
UGAGUUAGGAGAAAUUGUUUUAAAAAAGGUUGUUUCUAUAUAAAGUGUAGUUUGAUUGCUCGAGGACGAGAAAUGGUAUAAGUGUGGGGUGUUGAUGAUAUGCUAUAAUUACAUGUUUUAAUCGUUUAAUACACUCUAAUUUGUUGCACUUUAAUUGAGUUUGAGCUUUAAUCACUAGUGUUUUGCACUAAUUGUGUAUUUUAUGCCUUACAGGAGUGAUUCCAAGCUAUGUAGAUAUUAUGGAAUGAACUCAAGUAAUUUAGAGCUUUGAAGUAUGAGUAAAAGCUCAAGGAAUCAAGCCGGCAUCGUGUUUGGAGAUCAAUAGAUGAUGGUUAAGAACGAAACAAAGAAUCGAGUGGGCAUACGGCGCAUUGUCAAGUAAAAUGAAAAUAGCUUUUUGCUCAAAACUCUGUUUGGACUCCGCAAUAUAUCGUUGGAAGAUAUUUGAAAGGGCUAUAACUUUCAUGUUUUGCAUUUU